rnacentral:rRNA from 1 species
UACGUAGGGGGCAAGCGUUGUCCGGAAUCAUUGGGCGUAAAGAGCUCGUAGGCGGUUCGUCGCGUCGGCUGUGAAAACCUGAGGCUCAACCUCAGGCCUGCAGUCGAUACGGGCGGACUUGAGUACUGCAGGGGAGACUGGAAUUCCUGGUGUAGCGGUGAAAUGCGCAGAUAUCAGGAGGAACACCGGUGGCGAAGGCGGGUCUCUGGGCCGAUACUGACGCUGAGGAGCGAAAGCGUGGGGAGCGAACAGG